UACAGAGGUCUCGAGCGUUGUUCGGAUUCAUUGGGCGUAAAGGGCGCGUAGGUGGCGCUGUAUGUCAGGUGUGAAAUUUCGGAGCUUAACUCCGAAGCUGCAUUUGAUACUGCGGUGCUUGAGGACUGGAGAGGAGACUGGAAUUUACGGUGUAGCAGUGAAAUGCGUAGAGAUCGUAAGGAAGACCAGUGGCGAAGGCGGGUCUCUGGACAGUUCCUGACACUGAGGCACGAAGGCCAGGGGAGCAAACGGG
rnacentral:rRNA from 1 species